GUGAGUUAAAAGGACUAGUGGACGAGUCGGGGCUAUGGGCGAAAAUUUCAAUACCGGGGGUAUUUCAGUCUUUUUAAACGGAAUAUGAAGGGUAUUUGCGUAUUUCCGUGUGCCAGUUAAAAAUUCGGAGAAAAUAAGAACGGGUUUGACUACUUGACCCCGUUUCCCGUUUUAUUUUUGAAAUUUGAAAUUUGAAAUUUGAAAUUUCAGUUUUGAAAAUCGGAAAAUGUGUCAUUGCUGUCACUUUCUCUCACCACAUUCAUUUCUCUCUUGCCUCUCAUCUCUCCUCUCUCCACUCUCGACCACUCAUCAUCUCUUGUCAUCCAUGGUUUCAACUGCUAAAAUUCCUAAAUCAAGGUUGUGGAAGUAUCAGAACGGAAGUAAUUUGGGUAUUUAACUCUUUGCAAGUUACUUCAUAUCCAAAGUUCAAGAUCUAUAUUUGAAUUUGGCCCCUUUUCAGAUUAGAUGCAUCGCAAGAAAUUGGCUGAUGUUUCCUAUUGAAGGAGCUAUAUCCUGGUAAAAUUGAAGAGCAGUACAGCUAUGGCGGCGACGAGUUGAAGAAAUUGGGCAAAGUUUCUAGGGUUUUGGUAUUUUCUUUGGGACAAAUUAUUAUUGGACAGUGUUGGAGGUAGAAGAAGGGUGGCUUCCAUGGCAUCCAUGAAAGAAAGUGAAGAAGGAAGGGGGAGAGAGAAAAGGAAAAUAAAAAAAAGAGUUAAAUAGGGGAUUAGUGGGUUAAUUAGAGGUUAAUUGGGUUAAUUAGGGGCUGAUGACGUUAUUUAUGGUAUUUGGUGAAUUAUAUUGAAGGUUAGGGGUAUUUGGUGAAUUUUGAAACGUCGAGGGGUAUUUGGUGAAUUUCGUGAAAACUCAGGGGCAUUUCAUGAAAAAACCGUUUUAAAAAAUGAGGGCAUCUUUAAAGAUGUCAUUUCAGCCAAUGAAUGGCAUGAUAUACAAGAUUCCAUGUACUCUAGGAGUACAUAUAGCACCAUCCCCUUUUGUUAUGUUUUUAACCCUUAAACUUAUGUUAUCUUAUGUUAUUUUAUAUUAUUGGCUUUUAUCGGAA